CCCAUUUUCCACAGAUUUAUUGGCGCCCUCUUUGCAUAUCCAGGGAAUCCCAAAGCUUUUCCCAAAUCCCGGGAUUUUUCCCCCGAGCCUUUCCCGGGAUUUUUUUUUUUCCAUGGAAUUUUUUAUUUUUCCAGGAUUUUUCUGGGAUUUCCAUCCCGGGGGGGGGAGCUCUUGCAUAGCCAGGGGGAAAGAAAAAAAAUGGGAAAAAAAAGGGGAAAAAAAAGAGCAGGAAAAUGGGGAUAAAAGCAGGAAAUUUGGGAUAAAAGCAGGAAAAUCGGAAUAAAAGCAUCAGGACCUCCAAGGAGUUAAAAUUCCCUAAAAAUUCAGGAGAUUCCCUAAAAAAAAUCCCCCCCUGAGCCAAAGCGUUUCAGGAAUGGGAAUUUUGUUGGGAAUUUCAAUCCUGAUGGGAUUUUUUUCCUAUUUUUUUUUUUAUUGUUUUGACCCCAAAUUUUCUGGGAAAAAAAAAAUUGGGAAUUUUGUGGGGGGGAAAAAAUGGGAUGGGAGUGGAGGGAUUUGCAUAAAAGCUCCGGGUUUUUCCAGCAGGGCUCAUCCUGAUUUCUCAGGGGAGGCCAAAAAUUCCCAAAAUUUUGUGGGAUGAUCCCAAAAAAAUCCAAAAAAAAAAGGCGAUCCCGGAAUUCCCAGAGCCUGGAAUAAAGUGCAGAAUGUCCAUGGGGGGGAGGGGAAAAAAGGGGAUGGGAAUUCCCAAAUUUUUAAAUAUGGGGAGAAAAUGUGGGAAAAGGGGGGAGAGGUGGGGAAUGGGGGAGCCCAAAGUUCUGGAUCCAUGGAGAUCCCAAAGUUUUUGAUCCAUUGGGAAUUGGGGAUCCCAAACUUCUCAGUCCAUGGAGAUCCCAAAGUUCUUGAUCCACAGGGAAUUGGGGAUCCCAAAGUUCUCAGUCCAGGAAAACCCACCUGGAGCAGGAGAGCCCCAGAACCAACUCCAGGAUCGAGGCCCUGGAAGAUCUCCCAUGGAAGAACCUCCAGAGAUCCACCAGGACAAACCCUUUGCUGGAACAUCUCCUGGGAUCCACCUGGAGAAAUCCUCCCCUGGAAGAACUUCCCGUGUCCACCCAGAGCAACCUUUGCUGGAAGAUCUCCUGGGAUCCACCUGGAAAAUCCUUCCCUGGAACAGCCUUGGGAUCCACCAGGAGAAACCCUUUGCUGGAACAUCUUCCAGGAUCCACCUGGACCAAUCCUCCCCUGGAAGAACUUCCCGUGUCCAUCCAGACCAGUCCUUUGCUGGAACAUCUCCUGGGAUCCACCUGGUCAGAUCCUCCCCUGGAAGAACCUCCUGACAUCUCCCCACCCAACCCUCCCACACCACGUCCCCCACCCCAAUGACGGUCCAACAGCAUCAUGGUGGCCACAAUCAUGA
rnacentral:lncRNA from 1 species